UAUAAAGAAGUCUAAAAAUAAUGAAAAUAUUAUUUCUCAUUGUUGUAAGAGUGGGAUUGUAGUGAAAGUGUAGGAUUUGGUAACACCUGAAGACUAGAAUGAACGGAUUGAUGAAGAUAGUCGUAUUUAGGAGAUCAAGAAAUACAGGGCUAUAAGCAGAUUUGACAAACGUAAGACAAAGUCUGGUUUUACACAGAUUAUCGAAACACGUUUUCAGUUCUCCUGGAGUGCCUUGUGAUGGCAGCGUUAUCCACGAUCCUCAGCGUUAUUCCCCGAGGUGGUUGCUGGGUCCUUGAGGCCCGGCCGUGUGCCAGGGGCCGGGCCCGGGGCACUUUGGGCUCUUUCCACGGGAGCUUUGGAGGCCCCGCGGCGCUCUGCGGUUCGGCUGGGCUUGGCUAGCUCGGUUUCCCUGGCCCAGGCAAGGAGCUUUUCCCUCCCCGGCUGGCAGGAGCGGCAGGGGCAACUCUGCACCUACCGGCAGGUAACAAGAAUUUAUACCAAGAACUGAAGACAUGUUCUGAAGGAAAUGAUAGAGAUGGAGAAGGACCAGCUGUGAAUACCAGAAGGUACACACCCAAACGGUGGUGAAAAGGCAGAUGUGGCUGUAGAGCACAUCCAGCAAGCAGAGCGUGUCCUUCCAAAUGUGAUGAGAAAAAUCCAAAUGAGAAGAUCUGCUGUCUGCUUGAAGUCUGGAUAUGACAGAGACGUGUAUUUCACCUUACUGAGAAACUCCAAAACAAGUUAAGGUGCUCAUUUAGGAACCUAAAAAGUGUAAAGGGAGGGUUGUUUCUUGAUUUCUGGAGUUCAUACUUGCAUACUUCUUGUGUAUAGAGGAUCAAAGGAGACAGAAGAAAAUCCUAUGAAACUUGUGAAUGAAUGUACUCCUUUAUAACUUUUAUAACUAUGCAGAAUUCUAUUAAAUUCUUCAAUUACAAGAUUCAGGAAAAUUUACUUUAUGUUGUACUGAGAAGUAAUGAAGGUAACAUGCAAACAAGGUAAG